rnacentral:rRNA from 1 species
GACGAACGCUGGCGGCGUGCUUAACACAUGCAAGUCGAACGGAAAGGCCCUGCUUUUGUGGGGUUCUCGAUUGGCGAACGGGUGAGUAACACGUGAGUAACCUGCCCUUGACUUUGGGAUAACUUCAGGAAACUGGGGCUAAUACCGGAUAGGAGCUCCUGCUGCAUGGUGGGGGUUGGAAAGUUUCGGCGGUUGGGGAUGGACUCGCGGGUUAUCAGCUUGUUGGUGGGGUAGUGGCUUACCAAGGCUUUGACGGGUAGCCGGCAUGAGAGGGUGACCGGCGACAUGGGGCCUGAGAUACGGCCCAGAAUCCUACGGGAGGCAGCAGUGGGGAAUAUUGCACAAUGGGCGGAAGCCUGAUGCAGCAACGCCGCGUGCGGGAUGACGGCCUUCGGGUUGUAAACCGCUUUCGCCUGUGACGAAGCGUGAGUGACGGUAAUGGGUAAAGAAGCACCGGCUAACUACGUG